GAGUUUGAUCCUGGCUCAAAACGAACGCUGGCGGCGGGGACAAGACAUGCAAGUCGAGCGCUAAUUACAGGGUAGCAAUAUUCUGUAGUUGGAGCGGCGCAAGGGUGCGUAACACGUGGGUAAUCUGCCAUGAAGUUUGGAAUAACUCGCUGAAAGGCGAGCUAAUGCCGAAUGUGACGAUUGGAAAGCAUUUUCUGAUCUUUAAAGUUGGGGAUCGUAAGACCUGACGCUUCAUGAUGAGCCCGCGGCCUAUCAGCUAGUUGGUGAGGUAACGGCUCACCAAGGCUAAGACGGGUAGCUGGUCUGAGAGGACGACCAGCCACACUGGAACUGAGACACGGUCCAGACACCUACGGGUGGCAGCAGUCGAGAAUUUUUCACAAUGGGGGAAACCCUGAUGGAGCGACGCCGCGUGGGGGAUGAAUGGCUUCGGCCCGUAAACCCCUGUCAUUCGCGAACAAGUUGGUUCAAUUAACACCUGAACCAUUGAUAGUAGCGGAAGAGGAAGGGACGGCUAACUCUGUACCAGCAGCCGCGGUAAUACAGAGGUCCCAAGCGUUGUUCGGAUUCACUGGGCGUAAAGGGUGCGUAGGCGGUCGGGUAAGUCUGAUGUGAAAUCUCACAGCUUAACUGUGAAACUGCAUUGGAUACUAUUCGGCUUGAGAGUUGGAGGGGGGACUGGAAUUCUUGGUGUAGCAGUGAAAUGCGUAGAUAUCAAUAGGAUCCCCAGUGGCGAAGGCGAGUUCCUGGGCAACUUCCGACGGUGAGGCGCGAAAGCUAGGGGAGCAAACAGGAUUAGAUUCCCUGGUAGUC
rnacentral:rRNA from 1 species